rnacentral:rRNA from 1 species
CGUGGGCAAUCUGCCCUCUAGCCUGGGAUAACAGUUCGAAAGGACUGCUAACACCGGAUAUGAUGGUAACACGGCAUCGUGAAGCCAUGAAAGUUUACACUAGAGGAUGAGCCCGCGUCCCAUUAGCUAGUUGGUGAGGUAACGGCCCACCAAGGCGACGAUGGGUAGCCGACCUGAGAGGGUGAACGGCCACACUGGGACUGAGACACGGCCCAGACUCCUACGGGAGGCAGCAGUAGGGAAUUUUCCGCAAUGGGCGAAAGCCUGACGGAGCAACGCCGCGUGAGGGAUGAAGGUCUUCGGAUCGUAAACCUUUGUCUAGAGGGACGAUAAUGACGGUACCUCUGGAGGAAGCCACGGCUAACUACGUGCCAGCAGCCGCGGUAAUACGUAGGUGGCAAGCGUUGUCCGGAAUUACUGGGCGUAAAGGGCGUGUAGGCGGCCUUUUAA